rnacentral:rRNA from 1 species
AGCAGCCGCGGUAAUUCCAGCUCCAAUAGCGUAUAUUAAAGUUGUUGCAGUUAAAAAGCUCGUAGUUGAAUUUCGGGAUCAAUAUAUCGGUCGUGCCUUGGUACGUACUGGUAUCAUUGGUUUCUCCUUUCUGACGAACCAUGAUGUCAUUAAUUUGGUGUUAUGGGAAGUUAGGACUGUUACUUUGGAAAAAUUAGAGUGUUUAAAGCAGGCUUUGGCUUGAAUACAUUAGCAUGGAAUAAUGAAAUAGGACGUUCGAACCUAUUUUGUUGGUUUCUAGGAUCAACGUAAUGAUUAAUAGGGAUAGUUGGGGGCAUUAGUAUUCAAUUGUCAGAGGUGAAAUUCUUGGAUUUAUUGAAGACUAACUACUGCGAAAGCAUUUGCCAAGGAUGUUUUCAUUAAUCAAGAACGAAAGUUAGGGGAUCGAAGACGAUCAGAUACCGUCGUAGU